AUACAUAGGGGGCGAGCGUUAUCCGGAUUUAUUGGGCGUAAAGGGUGCGUAGGCGGUAAAUUAAGUCUAAGGUUAAAGUGCAGGGCUCAACCCUGUGAUGCCUUAGAAACUGGUUUACUUGAGUUUGGUAGAGGUAAGUGGAACUCCAUGUGUAGCGGUAAAAUGCGUAAAUAUAUGGAAGAACACCAGUGGCGAAGGCGGCUUACUGGGCCACAACUGACGCUGAGGCACGAAAGCGUGGGGAGCAAACAGGAUUAGAUACCCUGGUAGUCCACGCCGUAAACGAUGAGUACUAGCUGUCGGGGGUUACCCCCCUCGGUGGCGCAGCUAACACAAUAAGUAUUCCGCCUGGGGAGUACGGCCGCAAGGUUGAAACUCAAAUGAAUUGACGGGG
rnacentral:rRNA from 1 species